CACGUAGGGGGCGAGCGUUGUCCGGAUUUAUUGGGCGUAAAGGGCUCGUAGGCGGCUCAGUAAGUCGGGUGUGAAACCUCCAGGCUCAACCUGGAGACGCCACUCGAUACUGCUGUGGCUAGAGUCCGGUAGGGGAGCAUGGAAUUCCUGGUGUAGCGGUGAAAUGCGCAGAUAUCAGGAGGAACACCAGUGGCGAAGGCGGUGCUCUGGGCCGGAACUGACGCUGAUGAGCGAAAGCCAGGGGAGCAAACGGG
rnacentral:rRNA from 1 species